AGUACUCCUGUCUCUCAGGCAGGACCGUAAAACACUGCAAACAGGAGGAAGCAGGAAGAAGUCACCCAUGAAGUCCUUGCCCCUGAUAAAAAACAAAACUCAUCCGGCCUCUGAAGUCAUAAUAGUUCUUGCAGCUUGGAGUGUGCCGCCAUCCUCCCCAAACACAUCUCGACUCUGAAAGUGACCCUAUGAAGGCUAUGACUGCUAAGCAGCAGGCAGAACAGGCAACCAUGGAGAAGAUUGUAUGCUGAGAUGGAAGACCCAAAAGAUUGAAGCAGCCUGGAUAACUCGGGUACCACACAGAGGACAACUGCCCUAGAGAGUUGCCUUGACCCGCAAAAGACAUUGCCUGAGAUGAAAAUAAACUUUUAUUGUGUUAAA